rnacentral:rRNA from 1 species
CUUGGAAGACGUAAAGCUUCGGCUUGUGAAACCUAAAAAUAAUGGUGAGCAUCGACUAUGUUGAAUAAAGUUCUAGAUAUGAUAUUGAUUAUGACAAUUUUUUAUCUAUUUGUCUUGACCAAAAUACGUGCCAGCAGUCGCGGUAAGACGUAAAAGACAAGUGUUAUUCAUCUUUAAUAGGUUUAAAGGGUACCUAGACGGUAUUAUUAGCCCAAAAAAGGGUACGAUUAUACUAGAGUUUUAUAGGAGAAGGAAGUAUUUAUGGAGGAGAGUUUAUAUUUCAUUAUACCUUAGAGACUGGUAAAGGCGAAAGCAACCUUCUAUCUAAUAACUGACGUUGAGGUACGAAGGCCUGGGUAACGAACAGGAUUAGAUACCCUAGUAGUCCAGGCAGACAAUUAUGAAUGCCAUAUGCUAGAUUAAUUUAGCAUAUAAAUGAAAGUGUAAGCAUUUCACCUUAAGAGUAAUGCGGCAACGCAGAAACUGAAAUCAUUAGGCCGUUUCUGAAAUCAGUAGUGAAGUAUGUUAUUUAAUUCGAUAAUCCACGAAAAACCUUACCACAAUUUGCAUAUUAUUUUUAAUCUUAAUUGCUUAAAAAUAUUACAAGCGUUGCACGGCUGUCUUCAGUUAAUGUCGUGAGAUUUUGGUUAGUUCCAUAAAAUUAACGUAAACCCUUGCUUUAUUUUUAAAUAGUAUUUUUAUAGAGCAGUUCGCCAUUAUAUUGGU